rnacentral:rRNA from 1 species
AUUGAACGCUGGCGGCAUGCCUUACACAUGCAAGUCGAACGGUAACAGGUCUUCGGAUGCUGACGAGUGGCGAACGGGUGAGUAAUACAUCGGAACGUGCCCGAUCGUGGGGGGAUAACGGAGCGAAAGCUUUGCUAAUACCGCAUACGAUCUACGGAUGAAAGCAGGGGACCGCAAGGCCUUGCGCGGACGGAGCGGCCGAUGGCAGAUUAGGUAGUUGGUGGGAUAAAAGCUUACCAAGCCGACGAUCUGUAGCUGGUCUGAGAGGACGACCAGCCACACUGGAACUGAGACACGGUCCAGACUCCUACGGGAGGCAGCAGUGGGGAAUUUUGGACAAUGGGCACAAGCCUGAUCCAGCCAUUCCGCGUGCAGGAUGAAGGCCCUCGGGUUGUAAACUGCUUUUGUACGGAACGAAAAGGCUCUGGUUAAUACCUGGGGCUCAUGACGGUACCGUAAGAAUAAGCACCGGCUAACUACGUGCCAGCAGCCGCGGU